UUGGAGGGCAAGUCUGGUGCCAGCAGCCGCGGUAAUUCCAGCUCCAAUAGCGUAUAUUAAAGUUGUUGCAGUUAAAAAGCUCGUAGUUGAAUUUCGGGAUCAGACUGUCGGUCGUGCCUCGGUACGCACUGGCAUUAUUGGUUCCUACCUUCUGAAGAACCGCGAUGUUAUUAAUUUGGUGUCGUGGGGAAUCAGGACUGUUACUUUGAAAAAAUUAGAGUGUUUAAGGCAGGCGCACGCUUGAAUACAUUAGCAUGGAAUAAUGAAAUAGGACGUUUGAUUCUAUUUUGUUGGUUUCUAGGAUCGACGUAAUGAUUAAUAGGCAUAGUUGGGGGCAUUAGUAUUCAAUUGUCAGAGGUGAAAUUCUUGGAUUUAUUGAAGACUAACUACUGCGAAAGCAUUUGCCAAGGAUGUUUUCAUUAAUCAAGAACGAAAGUUAGGGGAUCGAAGACGAUCAGAUACCGUCGUAGUCUUAACCAUAAACUAUGCCGACUAGGGAUCGGAUGAUGUUAAUUUUAUAAUGACUCACUCGGCGCCUUACGGGAAACCAAAGUGUUUGGGUUC
rnacentral:rRNA from 1 species